rnacentral:rRNA from 1 species
UACGUAGGGUCCGAGCGUUGUCCGGAAUUAUUGGGCGUAAAGGGCUCGUAGGCGGUCUGUCGCGUCGGGAGUGAAAUUUUACAGCUUAACUGUGAACGUGCUUUCGAUACGGGCAGACUGGAGGCAUGCAGGGGAGAACGGAAUUCCUGGUGUAGCGGUGAAAUGCGCAGAUAUCAGGAAGAACACCUAUGGCGAAGGCAGCUCUCUGGGACGGUACUGACGCUGAGACGCGAAAGCGUGGGGAGCGAACAGG